rnacentral:rRNA from 1 species
GAUGAACGCUGGCGGCGUGCUUAAUACAUGCAAGUCGAACGGAGAUUGUAGCAAUACGGUCUUAGUGGCGAACGGGUGAGUAACGCGUUAGUGACCUGCCCCGGAGUGGGGGAUAACAGUUCGAAAGAACUGCUAAUACCUCAUACCUUCAUUGGACUUAGAACCCAGUGAAGAAAGGAGUAAUUCGCUUCGGGAGGGGCUUGCGUCCCAUCAGCUAGUUGGUAGGGUAAUGGCCUACCAAGGCUAUGACGGGUAGGGGACCUGAGAGGGUGGACCCCCACAAUGGAACUGAAACACGGUCCAUACACCUACGGGUGGCAG